CAGCAGCCACGGCAAUACGUAGGUGGCAAGCGUUGUCCGGAAUUAUUGGGCGUAAAGCGCGCGCAGGUGGUUUAAUAAGUCUGAUGUGAAAGCCCACGGCUCAACCGUGGAGGGUCAUUGGAAACUGUUAAACUUGAGUGCAGGAGAGAAAAGUGGAAUUCCUAGUGUAGCGGUGAAAUGCGUAGAGAUUAGGAGGAACACCAGUGGCGAAGGCGGCUUUUUGGCCUGUAACUGACACUGAGGCGCGAAAGCGUGGGGAGCAAAUGGGAUUAGAUACCCCCGUAGUCCCUGUCUCUUAUAC
rnacentral:rRNA from 1 species